AACUGGUCUGCCUGAAGUGGUGUUUACAACUAAUUGAUCACAACCAGUUACAGGUUUCUUCUCCACUCCCAGUGCUUUAUUGACUGGCCUAAA
rnacentral:Y_RNA from 1 species